UGCUCCUCUGUGCUAGAUAUCUUUCUUUAUCCUGUUAGUAUGGAAUGUCACCAUUUGAACAAGAUUUUUGAAGUGAUAUUCCAGGCAUGCAGAACUGAGAGUGGUAGGACUAACAGUGUGAAAUAAAUGAUUUACCUUGUCAAAUGCAA